GAAAUCGGAGUCGAAAAUACGGUAAAUUUCAGUGUUAUCACUACCGCAUAAAAUUCUGAGUGGUAUGUCUAAUGCAGAAGACAUGCAUCAACGGAGGAUCCUGCCAACCAUUAUCAAUGUUUUUUAUUUCACUAACUAUUGAAGGAUGUCGGUCGGAGAUCAAACAUAAGUUAGGUUGAGGAGAAACGUGCAAUAGAGAUUUCUUAGGAAAAAAC
rnacentral:lncRNA from 1 species